UACAGAGGUCCCAAGCGUUGUUCGGAUUCACUGGGCGUAAAGGGUGCGUAGGCGGUCGCGCAAGUCGGAUGUGAAAUCUUAGGGCUCAACCCUGAAACUGCAUUCGAUACUGCGUGGCUCGAGUACUGGAGAGGAGACUGGAAUUUACGGUGUAGCAGUGAAAUGCGUAGAUAUCGUAAGGAAGACCAGUGGCGAAGGCGAGUCUCUGGACAGUUACUGACGCUGAGGCACGAAGGCCAGGGGAGCAAACGGG
rnacentral:rRNA from 1 species